GCAGAAGCCCCGCCCACACGCUGGCCCCGCCCCCUUCGCCGGCACAGGAACCCCUACAGGCUCCAGAGGCCCUGAGCGCGCCCCCUACGAGGCUUGUUCUCUGGCGUCUCUGAUUGGCCAGCUCCCUUCGCGCAGACUAGCGUCCUUUCGGCUGCUGGGUAGCUCCUCUUCCCUCGCUGGGCGAGGCUCUAAAGCCCAUGUGCAGCACAUUGAGGAUCUUCCGAUCGGUCUUCGCUGAUGCUUUUCUCGUUUCCCUCUAAGGGCGAGAUCACUGGGAAAGGAGCUGAUGCUGGUGGAAUCUUCAGGUGAUGAAGAUGGAGACUCCAGGUCUGAGUCGGCUGGAAAUAAAAAGAGACUCCCUGCAUUAGAGACCAUCCACAGGGCAUCCUUGGAAGCUGUGACCUGAAGGUGGACAAGCCACAGGAUGGAAGGAGCUGCAUCUCUAAGUCACCAGUGAAGAACAGUCACCCUCAAUGGGUUUGGAGAGAAGUCUUCUCUGAUAUCCACUUUUAAGUCCCGAUUAUAAUCCACUCGUUUCAUUCUCGCAGCACUCAGUGUGGUUUAGGGGAAAUUCUAGAUUCUCAUAUCUUGGUCAUGGAUGAUAAGGAAAGGGCCUUUCCAUAUAUGUGAGGCAAAGCAGAGCAGGGUGAGGGGGUAAGGCUCCUCAGGGUAAGGAAGGCCCUGCAGAAGAAUGGAGUGGUGUUGCGGAGGCAGGUAGCCGAGGGAGGGGAGCAGUGCCAUCAGGAUGGGUCCUCAGGGUCUGUCAGCAUCCACCAGAAUCUGGCAGAGCUAUUUAGAGAAACUGAUAGAAAGCUGUACCUACUGCAGUCACAAAGGAUCAGGCUCAGAAUCACGGAUAAACUGAGGAUUAAUGUCUCCAUUUAUUGAUAAGGAAAUUAAGUUUUAUGGAGAUUAGAAUGUUUGUACGUAAUACAGUGCUUAGUUCAUAGUAGAUGCACAAUAAAUAUUUGUUGAAUGAAGGGCCUAAGACUUUUAAUGCUUAUGCCUUCUAUAAGGGAUUGAGAAUUUACCCAUUCCGUGGUAUAUAGAGGGGUAUGGUACUGGUGCCCAGGACAGACACAUUGUGGUUGGGUGCAAUGUUUUAAAAAGUUUGAAUGUUAGUGUGCUUUCUGGUAUUCCCUAGGCCCUACCACUCCCUGUUGCCUUAUCACUCACCCAGUUCACACGAUGAUGUCAUCCGUCUGUCCCCCUGAGCUUCAGUUGUGUGGAAUUCCUUCCUACACUCUCCUGUUCACAAGUCACCUUUUAAAUAGAGCUUAUCCCUAACUCUGUUGUUUUGCCCUCUCCCUUCUCCUUCCUGCCAUUGCCUUCCCAUCCUCUCCCUCCUAUUAUCUAUCCACAUAUGUCCUCUCUAUUUUUUCUCAAGUUUUUUAACCUUGUCAGUGUCGCAAUCCAAUGUACACAUCAGGAUAGAUGCGGAGAGGGCUGAUGGCCACUCUGAGUUUAUUAUAACCAGCGUUUCAAUAUAUACAUAGCUUACAGCUGUUAAACAUACACAGGUGUUCUGGAUGAAGUAAUUAGUGAAUGCCAAGAAUUCUUCGUGAUUUCUCAAGGAGCCCUCCCUUGGCCUCUGUUUUGAUAUUAUCAUGUUAUUGCUGUGCUCCUAUACUUUUAUCUCGGAGCAGGCAAGGCCUCUUAGGCAAUGGUCCCUCCUGCUCCCGAUAUCGAUAUCGUUUCUCCAUCUGUGCCCCUGGGCGGCCGCCGCCUGGCUUAGGUUGCCCCCCCAGGGGUCUUACCAGUCAUUGGCUAACCGGCCUUCUCACCUCCGGGUCACAGUUUGUUGGCAAGCUUUUUCCAGUGAUUAUUAACCCUUCCUAUGUCAGGGGCGGCUACAAACCUUAUAAGCAUAAAUUCUUAGGCAGCUAUGCCUAAUAUGAUGAACUAGGAAACCUAAGCCAAGAACAGAGUUGUAUUCAGAUAUACCUUCUACAAGUUUCUAUUAUACAUAUUUAAAGAUACAUAAAUAUUAUUGUAUUGUGUAGUUAUUAGGCAGUUAGCAGUGCUUAUAAAUUAUAUUUAAUGUAACCUUUAUAAACAUUCCCAUUUUAUAGUUAUUCAGUUUUUACUAGCUGCUAACUACCUGGGCAUCUUGCAUGAGUCAUUUUAUUGUAUUGUUUUCUUAUCUACUGAACAAGGGGUUUAGAAGGCAUUGUCUUUAAGGAAAUUUACAGGUACAUAUGUAAGGCCCUGUGACUGUGUGAUUACUACCUGGACUGAUAAAACCUAAAGCAAGGGAAGUGGGGAGAAUGGUGUAGUGCAGAGGGGAAGCUGCCUGUUGCUAACUGCACAAAGUUCUCCUAGAAACCUCCUCUGUAAAAGGAGCUUAAGAACCUACAUCCCCAGGAGACCUCUGGGACCAGUUUUUCUGGAUCCCCUGAGACCAGAUAAUUGGAUAAAGCUGUACAUUCUCAUCCUGAUCCUUUCUGGUCACAGUCCAAAAUGUCCCUUUGUGGUCACAGUCCUCUCCACAGUCUGCUCAGUGCCACCUCCUCUGGCACCCCAGGUGCUGAGGAUCAUCCCCUUUGCCGUACACGCGUCCAUGUUACCUGUGGGGACUGUGUGGUGUGGGAAGGAAACUCCCUCCGCCUGCACCUCCUGUGUGCCCCAGGCCUUCAUGGAAUCCCAGGUCUCUCCAGAGAGUUGCUUUUUUGGGUGGUCUCUCCUGGAAUUCCUGCUGGGUUUUUAUAGUCAUUCCUCUCCCCAUUCCCCACAGACCUCCUCCCCCUCUUCCUUUCUGUUUUGCCACCAUACCAGAUGUUACUUUUACCACAGGGCCUUUUCCCUGUUUACAGAGAAAACCAAAGCCAUCAGGAGGAACUCCACCAACAUGGAAUCCAACGUAUUGAUUGUUACGUCUUGCGGAAAUAUGGGAGACAGAUGCACAAAGAAGAGUGUACAUGAGGACACAGUGAGAAGGCGGCCAUCGGCAAGACAAGAAGAGAGCUCUCAUCAGAAACCAAAUCUGUCAGCACUUUGAUUUGGGACUUCUAGCCUCUGGAUCUGUGAAAAAAUAAAUCUCUGUUGUUUAAGCCACCCAAGCUAUGAUAUUUUGUUACGGCAGCCUAAGCAGAUACACAAUGCAACAGAAAAAUGGGCAAGAGAUGCAAAACAAACCACAAUGAGAUACCACUGCACAUCUGCCACUACAAUUAAGAAAGACUAAAAAACAAUUGGAAAUGACGUAGAACAACAGGAAUUCUCAUCUAGAUUUUACUAUUAGGUUUCUGAGGUUCAUCUCCAUCUGUUUAUUACUAUAGUCUUAAUUUUCAUUCCAUUGCAUGUAAGUUGCUACAACUACUUUCAGAAAGAGUUUAGCAUUUGAUCCAGUGAGUCUACUCCUAGGUGUACAAAAAACAGAUAUGUGUUCGCAUAGCUACCCAAACACAUGCACAGGUACGUUCAUGGCAUUGUUCGUAAUCGCUAAAAAAGAGAAACAAAUGUCCAUCAACAGUGGAAUAGAUACCUAAAUUGUGGUACAUUCAUAAAAAGGACUAUUGUACAAUAAAAAUUAAUGAAUCAAUUAUACACAGAAACACAGGUGAAUCUGUCAAACCUCAUGUUUUGAGUGAAAAACACCAGGCAUAAAAGACUAUAUAUUGUUUGAUUCCCAUUUUAUAUAAGCUUCAAAACCAGGCAAACUAAAUUGUAGUGUUAGAAAUCAGGAUAGUGGUUACAUUUAGGGAAGAUGGAGGAGUUACUGAUUGGAAGCAAAUAUGAGGAGACUGGGAGAGUUGGCUGAGGUUCUGUUUCUUGACUUGUGUGAUGGUUGCAGUGGUGUUCACGUUGUGAUCAUUCGUUGAACUUUACAUUUCUGUUUUGUUAUGAUUUUUUUAUAUGUUAUGUUUCCCAAUUUUAAAAAAAGUUUAAAAUAUGUUGGUAUCUUCUACUAAGGAAAGUGUUUUCAAUGAGGAAGAGUUAAGCAUCCAGAGUAAAUUUUCAAAUCUCCAAUUUGCUUAUGGGUAGGUUUAUGGGUUGCUUAACUGCUACUCAUUUUUGUUUUUCGUUUAUCAAUAUUCAAAUACCGAAUAUAUAUUUAGUGCACAACUGAAGAUCAUGUAGCAUAAUAACAGCUUUAUAAGUAAAAGGAUGAAAUCAACCCACCAGAUUUUUUUGGAGUUGCUACCGCCAUUGACCUAAUCCUAAUUCCAAUGAAAAAAAAGUAGCCUUUCUUCCCAUUGUGGGACACGUGAUAGUGCAGACUUAUGGGUCACUUCUCACACACCUUUGGUCCUUAUUUUAGAGAAGCAGAACACUGCUGGGUUCCUUAGGGGCAAGGUCUAGACUUGCACACUUGAACCUUGCACUCUCUCUGAAGAGCCAACAAAUAAGUGAAGGAUCCUUUAAAAAACAGAAACAUACAGAAGUGUGGCAGAGAGUGGCUAUUUAAUCAAACCUAUUUUGUCUUGUUCCUAGGCAGCAGAAUGAGAAUACUUGAUCUGCCUCCUUUCUAUUUCCUUUGUAGUUAGGAGUUCCCAUGUGGAGAGGGAAGCACCAAGACCCUCCAGAGAGUUUGGAGGAGGGAGUGAUAAAUUAAUUCAGAGAGUACCCACUGAUUCUUAGAUCAUAAAACUUUUUCCAAUUUCCUUCCCACUGGUUUGCAUUGACCAUGGCUCAGCAUAGAUUUAAGGUAAAAGCAUACUGCCCUUAAGAUAUUAUUGGCCUUUAAUAGCUGAUAGGAGAUGCUGAGAGUUCAGAGUUCAGAGAGCAGGACAGUCUCUACAGAAUUUUGCCUGAUGAAAACAGAAACUAAAUGACUUUCAAUGCUUCUCUAGCUCUAAGCAUUCUACAAUUCUUUGCAAAGCUGGAAUUGCCCUAUGAUUGCCCUAAAAUUGAAAAAUAAGAACAGGAAGGGUGGAUGAUCUUUAUCAUAUUCUAUAAAGGAUCAUCAAUCCUCAGUCAAAACAAUGUGGUGAGGCUGGCCCCAUGGCCGAGUGAGUUCACAUGCUCUGCUUGGGCAGUCCAGGGUUUCUCGGGUUUGGGUCCUGGGCGUGGACAUGGCACUGCUCAUCAGGUCACGCUGAGGCAGCGUCCCAUAUAGCGCAAUCAGAGGCACUCACAACUAGAAUCUACAACUAUGUACUGGCGGGAUUUGGGGAGAAGAAGAAGAAGAAGAAAGGAGAUUGGCAACAGUUGUUAACUCAGGCGCCAAUCAUCGGAAAAAACAACAACUGUGGUACUAGUGCUUGAAUAGACAGAAAUAGAAAGACUUCUUGAAUAGAAAGACUGAUACAACAGGAUAGCAAAGUCCACAAAUUGACAAGUCGUAAGAAUUUUGUACAUACACAAUAAAGAAAACCUUUCUUUCUUUUUUUUCCCUGCUUUUUCUCCCCCAACGCCCCCAGCACAUAGUUGUAUAUCUUUUUAGUUGUGGGUCUUUCUAGUUGUGGCAAGUGGGAGCUGCCUCAGGGUGGCCUGAUGAGCGGUGCCACGUCUGCGCCCAGGAUCCGAACCAGUGAAGCCCCAGCCGCCGAAACGGGGCGC
ensembl:lncRNA